rnacentral:rRNA from 1 species
GAUGAACGCUGGCGGCGUGCCUAAUACAUGCAAGUCGAGCGAACAGACGAGGAGCUUGCUCCUCUGACGUUAGCGGCGGACGGGUGAGUAACACGUGGAUAACCUACCUAUAAGACUGGGAUAACUUCGGGAAACCGGAGCUAAUACCGGAUAAUAUAUUGAACCGCAUGGUUCAAUAGUGAAAGACGGUUUUGCUGUCACUUAUAGAUGGAUCCGCGCCGCAUUAGCUAGUUGGUAAGGUAACGGCUUACCAAGGCAACGAUGCGUAGCCGACCUGAGAGGGUGACCGGCCAACCUGGAACUGAGAAACGGGCCAGACUCCUACGGGAGGCAGCAGUAGGGAAUCUUCCGAAAUGGGCGAAAGCCUGACGGAGCAACGCCGCGGGAGUGAUGAAGGUCUUCGGAUCGUAAAACUCUGUUAUUAGGGAAGAACAAAUGUGUAAGUAACUAUGCACGUCUUGACGGUACCUAAUCAGAAAGCCACGGCUAACUACGU